CUCUGUUCAUGCCAAAAGAGUGCUAAACAAAAAUGAGAAUGCACAAGGACAGCAUAUAGUUUGAGGUUUUCUCCAUCUUUCAUUAGGUGAAGCUAAACUACUGACAUACUAGCAUUUUCAAGGUUCCACACUCAGUCUACAGCACGCCAGAGUGGAACUAACACAAAGAUGUACAACCGGACAAUAUGAAAGAACUAGACAUCUUGAAUGCUCAUUACUACAUGGGAAGUCUUCAUUAAAUAGCUUCCCUAACGGACCAGGGAGCUAUGUAUAAAGGAUGAAGAAACGUAGUAAAAGCCAGAGGUGAUGGAAAAUACCAAAGAAAUCUUACCUUUCAGAAAGAACAGGAUUGAUUUAAACAUGAACUCAUAGUUUGUGGCAGCAUGCACAAGAAGUUCAAGACAGAUGCAGUCCCAGAGGUAAGACUGGGAAGUAGACACAAGUUCCCAUUCCUCAGCAACAAGCCAUUUCCAAACAGCAACUACUUGGAAAGGAAAAAUAAACCAAUUAUGGGUAGACCCCAUGCCCCAUAGUAGAUGA